rnacentral:lncRNA from 1 species
CUGUUAGGUCAGUAUUUUUCAAACUUGAUUUCAAAGUGGGCCAUGGAACCAAUGUAGUGGGUCCAACCAGCAUUAAAAAAGAAAGAAAGAAAGAAAGAAAGAAAGAAUAGAAAAUAUCAGAGUACAUAACAAGUAGUAAAGGAAGUCACCAUCUUCGGUGGGGACCUUUCUCAGACAAUCUAUUCUUCCACAAUUCUCCUUGAGCAACCAAGAUAUUAACGGGGAAGACUUGAAGUUUCUAUGCUGCUUGAUCCAGAAUUUUCUCACCAUGGAUGUGGGGUUCUCACCUUUGAAGGAAUGCAUUGUGGACACAAACAAGAACUGUCUGUACUCUUGCAGGAAAUGGAAACGGUACAAACCAGCAUUUGAGUGAAUGAACACUGAAAAUGCAUGCUGCAACCAACCACUGGAUCAGGUUGGAUAAUUGUUUUCCUCAAUCCUAUGACAAAAAGAGUUGGAGGCGUCAGGAAGAGCAAGAACAAUUUGGCUCUCAGUGAAUUUUUAAUAAACAAUGUGUUG